rnacentral:rRNA from 1 species
AGUGAACGCUGGCGGUAGGCCUAACACAUGCAAGUCGAACGGCAGCACAGUAAGAGCUUGCUCUUACGGGUGGCGAGUGGCGGACGGGUGAGGAAUACAUCGGAAUCUACUUUUUCGUGGGGGAUAACGUAGGGAAACUUACGCUAAUACCGCAUACGACCUACGGGUGAAAGCAGGGGAUCUUCGGACCUUGCGCGAUCGAAUGAGCCGAUGUCGGAUUAGCUAGUUGGCGGGGUAAAGGCCCACCAAGGCGACGAUCCGUAGCUGGUCUGAGAGGAUGAUCAGCCACACUGGAACUGAGACACGGUCCAGACUCCUACGGGAGGCAGCAGUGGGGAAUAUUGGACAAUGGGCGCAAGCCUGAUCCAGCCAUACCGCGUGGGUGAAGAAGGCCUUCGGGUUGUAAAGCCCUUUUGUUGGGAAAGAAAAGCAGCAGGUUAAUACCCCGCUGUUCUGACGGUACCCAAAGAAUAAACACCGGCGAACUUCGU